UACGAAGGGUGCAAGCGUUACUCGGAAUUACUGGGCGUAAAGCGUGCGUAGGCGGUCUGUCGCGUCUGCUGUGAAAACCCGGGGCUCAACCCCGGGCUUGCAGUGGAUACGGGCAGACUAGAGUUCGGUAGGGGAGACUGGAAUUCCUGGUGUAGCGGUGAAAUGCGCAGAUAUCAGGAGGAACACCGGUGGCGAAGGCGGGUCUCUGGGCCGAUACUGACGCUGAGGAGCGAAAGCGUGGGGAGCGAACAGG
rnacentral:rRNA from 1 species